rnacentral:lncRNA from 1 species
UUUUUUUUUUUUUUUUUAAUUUAUGUUCUCAGUUCUCUUGGGUAUAUACCUAGAAGUGGAAUUGUUGAAUCUAUAUUUAAUUUUUUGAGGAAUUGAAAACUGUCUUCCAAAGAAAUUGCACCACUUUACAUUCCCACCAGUAGGAAAUGUGGGCUUUAGUUUUUCCAUAUCCUUGCCAAUGCUUGUUAUUUUCCAUUUGUUGUUACAGUUUUAUUUAGUGUACAAAUAUCCAGUCGUUUUAAAUUCAUAUGUGCUAGAUUUUCAGAACAUCUUUCCUUCAAAUUUUCCUUCACUUUUGUUAAGAAAGUGUUGUGCAUUUAAAGACUGAAUUCACGACUAGCAUCCAUGAGGACGUGGGUUCAAUCCCUGGUCUCGUUCAAUGGGUUAAGGAUCUGGCAAUGCUAUGAGCUGUGGUGUAAAUCACAGCACAGCUUGGAUCUGAUGUGGCUGUGGCUGUGGCAUAAGCCCGUGGCUGCAGCUCCAAUUGGACCCCUAGCCUGGGAACCCUCAUAUGCCUUGAGGGCAGCCCUAGAAAGACAGAAAGACAGAGAGAAAGAAAGAAAGAAAAGAAAAGAAAGAAAGAAAAAAAGAAAGAAAAGAGUUCAGCUCUCCCCUUUUCAGACAAGGCUGAAGCAUCAGGGCCAAAAUGAAGUUUGAUCCCUUUGUGACUUUUUUUUUUUGUCUUUUUGCCUUUUCUAGGGCUGCUCCCUUGGCAUAUGGAGAUUCCCAGGCUAGGGGUCUAGUCGGAGCUACAGCCGCCGGCCUGCACCACAGCCACAUCAACAUGGGAUCCGAGCCGCGUCUGUGACCUACGCCACAGCUCACUACAACGCCCGAUCGUUAACCCACUGAGCAAUGGCAGGGAUUGAACCCGCAACCUCAUGGUUCCUAGUCAGAUUCGUUAACCACUGAGCCACGACGGGAACUCCCCCUUUGUGACUUCUGACCAAAGCAAGAACCAUAAAUGACAUUUCAAUGCACCGUCUCACAUUCGUAGGAAGACUAUGUCUUCCCUUCUUUCCAAAGGGCUGAGACAGAAAUACAAUGUUUGAUCCAUGCCCAUCUGCAAAGAUGAUGAAGUUCAGGUCGUAUGAGGGCACUACAAAGGGCGGCAGAUUGGCAAAGCAGUCCAGGUUUACAGGAAGAAAUAUGGGCAUCUACACUGAACAAGUGGAGCAGGCGAAGGCUAAUGGCACGACUGUCUAUGUGGGCAUUUACCCCAGCAAGGUGGUUAUCACCAGACUAAAACUGGGCAAGGACUGCAAAAAGACCCUCCAGUGGAGAGCCAAAUCUUGCCAAGUAGGAAAGGAAAAGGGCAAACAUGAGGAAGAAACAAUUGAGAAGAUGCAGGAAUAAUCUCGUAUAGAAAUUUCAUUAAGGAGUUCCCAUUGUGGUACGGUGGAAACAAAUCCAACUAGGAGCCAUGAGGUUGCGGGUUCGAUCCCCAGCCUCGCUCAUGGGUUAAGGAUCUGGCGUUGCAGGUCACAGAUGCAGCUCGGAUCUGAUGUGGCUGUGGCUGUUGUAAGCUGGCAGCUGUAGCUCUGAUUUGACCUGUAGCCUGGGAACUUCCACAUGCUGCAGAUGCGGCCCCCAAAAAGCAAAAAACAAAAACAAAAACAAACAAAAAAAACCAAAAAGCAAACCACAGCAUGGACUCUAGCUUGAAAGCAAGGGAUUGCUAUUUUGUCUUCUGCUAUUCACUAUUCAUUGCUGUGAUGAAAAUGACAGUCCUGAGUUCAACUCUUAUCUCCCUUGUCACCUUCUCAUUUCCUGAGCUGGAAAAGUUACUAAACUCAUCUGUGCUUCAGUAUUCUCAUCCUCCGAUGCCUUCACUCUCUCCUCUCCCCGCCUUUCUAGGGCGCACUCUGGAUGUCUACAUGGUCACUGGGGCAAUUGGAAACUUCAAGUCCUUGUGCUGCUUCCUGGCAUUUCCUGAACAGGGAGCAGCUUUGCUGAGGAGGUUAUGUGAUUACACCCCCCCCUCUCCUAGAGAUGCUAUUUAAAGUCCUCAUGGAAAAAAAUCAACAGAUUUCAUAAAUGCGGUGGGGGGGGAUGUUUGCUUCUUUCCAUUCAGCAGCGUUUUAGUGGGGCCCCUUCCUCCCAUGGCUGGAGCAAGAGCCCCUCAGCCCAGCAAAAGCCCUGCCCCCGGUGCCCCUCCCCCACCACACAACUGUCCCAGCAGGAAGCUGACCUGGGGGGCAGGAGCAGCCCACUUUGUUUUAUUUUGCUUUGUUUUAUUUUGCUUUCAUUUUGAUCACAGCAAUCUGAGUGUGUGAAGUGGUUAUCUCCUUGUCAUUUUGACUUGUUUUUCCCUAAUGGCUACUGAUAAAUGUUUGGUUUUGGGUUUUUGUUUUUUUUUUUUUGUCUUUUUAGGGCUGCACCCAAGGCAUCAGGCUAGGGGUCAAUGGGAGCUGCAGCUGCCAGUGAGGGAUCCAAGCCAAGUCUGCAACCUAUACCACAAUUCAAGGCCAUGCCAGAUCCUUAACCCACUGAGCGAGGCCAGGGAUCGAACCUGUGUCCUUAUGGAUACUAGUCAGUUCGUUACGGAUGAGCUACAAGGGGAACUCCCUUUCUCCAUGUUCAGCUGGGUUAUUUAUAUUUUCAUUAUUG